UAAUUUGUUUGGGGUAAAUCCUCAUCUAAUUAUGACAUACUUACAUUUAACUGUUCAUAAUCACCCAUGAGAACUAUUGCUUGAAUAAUAACUUUUUAAAAU
rfam:Populus trichocarpa isolate Nisqually-1 chromosome 17, whole genome shotgun sequence.